UACGUAGGGUGCGAGCGUUUAAUCGGAAUUACUGGGCGUAAAGCGUGCGCAGGCGGUUUUGUAAGACAGGCGUGAAAUCCCCGGGCUCAACCUGGGAAUUGCGCUUGUGACUGCAAGGCUAGAGUACGGUAGAGGGGGAUGGAAUUCCGCGUGUAGCAGUGAAAUGCGUAGAUAUGCGGAGGAACACCGAUGGCGAAGGCAAUCCCCUGGACCUGUACUGACGCUCAUGCACG
rnacentral:rRNA from 1 species